rnacentral:rRNA from 1 species
GACGAACGCUGGCGGCGUGCUUAACACAUGCAAGUCGAACGGAAAGGCCUCUUUCGGGGGGUACUCGAGUGGCGAACGGGUGAGUAACACGUGAGUAACCUGCCCUUGACUUUGGGAUAACUUCAGGAAACUGGGGCUAAUACCGGAUAGGAGCUCCUGCUGCAUGGUGGGGGUUGGAAAGUUUCGGCGGUUGGGGAUGGACUCGCGGCUUAUCAGCUUGUUGGUGGGGUAGUGGCUUACCAAGGCUUUGACGGGUAGCCGGCCUGAGAGGGUGACCGGCCCCAUUGGGACUGAGGUACGGCCCAGGCUCCUACCGGAGGCAACAGUGGGGAAUAUUGCACAAUGGGUGGAAGCCUGAUGCAGCAACGCCGUGUGCGGGAUGACGGCCUUCGGGUUGUAAACCGCUUUCGCUCAUGACGAAGCUUUGUGUGACGGUAGUGGGUAAAGAAGCACCGGCUAACUACGUG